AUCACAAACCUUCUCCUAGAUCUC
rnacentral:siRNA from 1 species